rnacentral:rRNA from 1 species
UACGGAGGGGGCUAGCGUUGUUCGGAAUUACUGGGCGUAAAGCGCGCGUAGGCGGCUUUGUAAGUUAGAGGUGAAAGCCCGGAGCUUAACUCCGGAACUGCCUUUAAGACUGCAUCGCUAGAAUCGUGGAGAGGUGAGUGGAAUUCCGAGUGUAGAGGUGAAAUUCGUAGAUAUUCGGAAGAACACCAGUGGCGAAGGCGGCUGACUGGACACAUAUUGACGCUGAGGCUCGAAAGCAUGGGGAGCAAACAGG